GAAGAGCGAUGGAAGCUUGCUUCCAUCAAUCUUAGUGGCGAACGGGUGAGUAACGCGUAAUCAACCUGCCCUUCAGAGGGGGACAACAGUUGGAAACGACUGCUAAUACCGCAUACGAUCUAACCUUGGCAUCGAGGAUGGAUGAAAGGUGGCCUCUAUUUAUAAGCUAUCACUGAAGGAGGGGAUUGCGUCUGAUUAGCUAGUUGGAGGGGUAACGGCCCACCAAGGCGAUGAUCAGUAGCCGGUCUGAGAGGAUGAACGGCCACAUUGGGACUGAGACACGGCCCAGACUCCUACGGGAGGCAGCAGUGGGGAAUCUUCCGCAAUGGACGAAAGUCUGACGGAGCAACGCCGCGUGAGUGAUGACGGCCUUCGGGUUGUAAAGCUCUGUUAAUCGGGACGAAAGGCCUUCUUGCGAAUAGUUAGAAGGAUAGACGGACCGGAAUAGAAAAGCC
rnacentral:rRNA from 1 species